AUACGGAGGAUCCGAGCGUUAUCCGGAUUUAUUGGGUUUAAAGGGUGCGCAGGCGGCCAUUUAAGUCAGCGGUUAAAUCGUGGGGCUCAACCCCAUUCUGCCGUUGAUACUGGGUGGCUUGAUUGCGGUCGAGGUUGGCGGAAUUCGUUGUGUAGCGGUGAAAUGCAUAGAUAUGACGAAGAACACCGAUUGCGUAGGCAGCUGACCAGAACGCAAAUGACGCUCUUGCACGAGAGUGCGGAGAUCGAACAGGAUUAGAUGCCAUGGUAGUCCGCACAGUAAACGAUGAAUACUUGUUUUCGGCGAUAUAAUGUCGGAUGCAAAGCGAAAGCGAUAAGUAUUCCGCCUGGGGAGUACGCCGGCAACGGUGAAACUCAACUGAAUUGACGGGG
rnacentral:rRNA from 1 species